rnacentral:rRNA from 1 species
UUCCUACGGGAGGCUGCAGUAAGGAAUAUCGGACAAUGGUCGCAAGACUGAUCCAGCCAUGCCGCGUGAAGGAUGAAUGCCCUAUGGGUUGUAAACUUCUUUUAAACGGGAAAAAACCCCUCUACGUGUAGGGGGCUGAUGGUACCGUAAGAAUAAGGAUCGGCUAACUUCGUGCCAGCAGCCGCGGUAAUACGAAGGAUUCGAGCGUUAUCCGGAUUUAUUGGGUUUAAAGGGUGCGUAGGUGGACUAAUAAGUCAGUGGUGAAAGCCCGCAGCUUAACUGCGGAACUGCCAUUGAUACUGUUAGUCUUGAGUACAGUUGAGGUGGGCGGAAUGUGUCAUGUAGCGGUGAAAUGCUUAGAUAUGACACAGAACACCGAUUGCGAAGGCAGCUCACUAAGCUGUAACUGACACUGAGGCACGAAAGCGUGGGGAGCAAACAGGAUUAGAUACCCCAGUAGUCCU